UUGAAGAUAAUCAUGAUUAUUUAAUAUUCCACAGCUUUACAACUCGAUACUCUGUGGACAAAAGAUCAGAAGGCUGCUGAGUCCAAAGUUUUGAAUCUUUGGGUCAAUAUGCUUCUCAUGUUUUCAGCAUUUAGUUUAAUUUAGGAGGAAACAGUUCCGAGCUAAGAUAAGAUCUCAAGCAAAAUUGACGUGGACUUACAACAUGGCCUAACAUAACAAUUUAAUCUAUCCUGUGCUUCCCCUGAAAGAAGGCUUAGUAACUGUGCUAUAAUUUCACCUGCUGCUUCUAACAUUUGCUCAUUCUUUUCUCCUGAGCAAAUUUGGAUUAUCAAAUGGCGAGCAGCUUUGUUCAUGGUAGGCAAACUUGAAUUCAUUCAGGAUUAAUAACAAUGGGUUCAAUCAUGGAUUCAAUGGCAGUCUUAAUGAAUGGAGUCUUUGGAAGACAAAUGUUUGUUUGUGUUAAAGAGAAAUACUUAAUUCUCAGUUUUCCAGGGUACAAGGUGAUUACAGCACAUAUCACAAAAUGUUUUCCCUAUAUAUUCAGCCUUGGGUGGACAAAGAGCAGAAACGUUCCCCAAGCCCUGGCGUUGCAGAUAUGACCCAUUCUGACCUUGUUAUUUCAAAAUCUGAAGUUUCACAAUGAAUUAUUUGGUGUGAGGAAAAACGUGGUUUUUUUACUCACAGCGUUAUCUCAGGCCCUCUUGGUGAUCUGAUGCUGGGGAGUAAGGAGACAGGAAGGUCCACAUCGCCGCAAUCCAUCAGCAGUCGUAGGUUGAGACAGGACUACUCAGGUGGAGGAAUCCAGGCUGGAUCUGGAUUUGGGGCCAAUCCUCACCAUUGUCUUAGGCACGGGCAUCGUCCAAGUUCCUGUGGGAAAUCCUGCAUUCUUUACCACUUUCUCUGUCUCUUGGGAAGCAACUGGAGCAGACACCACCACUGUGCCUGGCCAGGGAGGAGCUGGUGAAGCCCCUAGGCUGGACCCACUCACCUCAGAACAAACUGCCAGGCUUCAGUAAAUUUACCCUGCAGGCAAUUUUACCCUGGAAAAACAUCACCCACGUUGCUAGAGUUUAGGACAACAAAUUAGAGCUUUUCAUAUGCAUUGGAAGCUUUCCUUUUUUGUCACCCCCCCCCCCCCCCCCCCCCCGCCUCCUUUUCCCCCAGUAACAUCCAGUUGCUUAAUUCCAUUUGAAAUCACCCCGGGUAGGCACCUAAAUACCUAAAUAAUCUUGUCCUUCAUGCCUGUCAACAUCUUGAGGCACCUAACCACCUUUAGAGAUGUGGUGUGAAAGCUUGUGAACGAUGCAAUCGAGGAGGGAAACAAAAGACAAG
rnacentral:lncRNA from 1 species